UACGUAGGGUGCAAGCGUUAAUCGGAAUACUGGGCGUAAAGCGUGCGCAGGCGGUUAUGUAAGACAGGUGUGAAAUCCCCGGGCUUAACCUGGGAACUGCAUUUGUGACUGCAUAGCUAGAGUACGGUAGAGGGGGAUGGAAUUCCGCGUGUAGCAGUGAAAUGCGUAGAUAUGCGGAGGAACACCGAUGGCGAAGGCAAUCCCCUGGACCUGUACUGACGCUCAUGCACGAAAGCGUGGGGGAGCAAACGAGG
rnacentral:rRNA from 1 species